UCGGAUGUGAAAACCCUGGGCUCAACCUGGGAACGGCAUUCGAUACUGUCUGGCUUGAGUGCGGCAGAGGAUCGGGGAAUUUCCGGUGUAGCAGUGAAAUACACGGAGAUCGGAAGGAACAUCAAUGGCGAAGGCAACGAUCUGGGCACGCACUGACACUGAGGGACGAAAGCGUGGGGAGCAAACAGGAUUAGAUACCCUGGUAGUCCACGCCGUAAACGAUGAGUACUGGCUGUUUGUCCUGGUGUAAAAGGAUAAGUGGCGCAGCUAACGCGUUAAGUACUCCGCCUGGGGACUACGGCCGCCAAGGCUAAAACUCAAAGGAAUUGACGGGGACCCGCACAAGCGGUGGAGCAUGUGGUUUAAUUCGAUGCAACGCGAAGAACCUUACCAUCCCUUGACAUCUGCGGAAGGCCUGAGAGAUCAAGCUGUGCCUUCGGGAACCGCAAGACAGGUGCUGCAUGGCUGUCGUCAGCUCGUGUUGUGAAAUGUUGGGUUAAGUCCCGCAACGAGCGCAACCCUUGUUUCCAGUUGCCGUCAUUUAGUUGGGCACUCUGGAGAGACUGCCGCUGAUAAGGCGGAGGAAGGCGGGGACGACGUCAAGUCAUCAUGGCCCUUACGGGAUGGGCUACACACGUGCUACAAUGGGCAUUACAGAGGGCAGCAACAGGGCGACCUCGAGCGAAACCCAGAAAGGUGCUCACAGUCCGGAUUGAAGUCUGCAACUCGACUUCAUGAAGUUGGAAUCGCUAGUAAUCGCGGA
rnacentral:rRNA from 1 species